rnacentral:rRNA from 1 species
UGGGGAAUUUUGGACAAUGGGCGAAAGCCUGAUCCAGCAAUGCCGCGUGUGUGAAGAAGGCCUUCGGGUUGUAAAGCACUUUUGUCCGGAAAGAAAUCCUCUGGGUUAAUACCUCGGGGGGAUGACGGUACCGGAAGAAUAAGCACCGGCUAACUACGUGCCAGCAGCCGCGGUAAUACGUAGGGUGCAAGCGUUAAUCGGAAUUACUGGGCGUAAAGCGUGCGCAGGCGGUUUUGUAAGACGGAUGUGAAAUCCCCGGGCUCAACCUGGGAACUGCAUUGGUGACUGGCAGGCUAGAGUAUGGCAGAGGGGGGUUAGAAUUCCACGUGUAGCAGUGAAAUGCGUAGAGAUGUGGAGGAAUACCGAUGGCGAAGGCAGCCCCCUGGGCCAAUACUGACGCUCAUGCACGAAAGCGUGGGGAGCAAACAGGAUUAGAUACCCUGGUAGUCCACGCCCUAAACGAUGUCAACUAGUUGUUGGGGAUUCAUUUCCUUAGUAACGUAGCUAACGCGUGAAGUUGACCGCCU